AUUGAACGCUGGCGGCAGGCCUAACACAUGCAAGUCGAACGAGUGGCGGACGGGUGCGUAAUGUAUGGGAAACUGCCCGAUGGAGGGGGUUAACUACUGGAAACUGUAGCUAAUACCGCAUACCAUCGGAUGUGCCCAGUUGGGAUUAGCUAGUAGGUGGGGUAACGGCUCACCUAGGCGACGAUCCCUAGCUGGUCUUAGAGGAUGACCAGCCACGAUGGAACUGAGACACGGUCCAGACUCCUACGGGAGGCAGCAGUGGGGAAUAUUGGACAAGGGGCGAAAGCCUGAUGCAGCCAUGCCGCGUGUAUGAAGAAGGACUUCGGGUUGUAAAGUACUUUCAGCGGGGAGGCGUUACCAGCAGAAGAAGCACCGGCUAACUCCGUGCCAGCAGCCGCGGUAAUUC
rnacentral:rRNA from 1 species